rnacentral:rRNA from 1 species
AUGCAAGUCGCACGAGAACGCUUCAGCUUGCUGAAGCUAGUAAAGUGGCGUACGGGUGAGUAUCGCGUGGGUAAUCUACCUCUGAAUUGGGGAUAACAUUGCGAAAGCGAUGCUAAUACCGGAUAAUAUCCAUUGAACCUCGGUUUUUUGGAUCAAAGGUGGCCUCUACAUGUAAGCUACUGUUUGGAGACGAGCCCGCGUACCAUUAGCUUGUUGGUAGGGUAACGGCUUACCAAGGCAACGAUGGUUAGCUGGUCUGAGAGGAUGAUCAGCCACACUGGAACUGACACACGGUCCAGACUCCUACGGGAGGCAGCAGUGAGGAAUUUUGCGCAAUGGGGGAAACCCUGACGCAGCAGCGCCGCGUGAGUGAUGAAGGCUUUCGGGUCGUAAAGCUCUGUCAAGUGGGAAGAACCCGCGCCGCACAAAUAGUGCGGUGCGCUGACGGUACCACUGAAGGAAGCACCGGCUAACUCCGUGCCAGCAGCCGCGGUAAUACG